rnacentral:rRNA from 1 species
UACGGAGGGGGCUAGCGUUGUUCGGAAUUACUGGGCGUAAAGCGCACGUAGGCGGCUUUGCAAGUCAGAGGUGAAAGCCCGGGGCUCAACCCCGGAAUUGCCUUUGAGACUGCAUCGCUAGAAUUGUGGAGAGGUAAGUGGAAUUCCGAGUGUAGAGGUGAAAUUCGUAGAUAUUCGGAAGAACACCAGUGGCGAAGGCGACUGACUGGACAGACAUUGACGCUGAGGUGCGAAAGCGUGGGGAGCAAACAGG